GCAGCAACGCCGCGUGGAGGAUGAAGGUUUUACGAUUGUAAACUCCUUUUGUUAGAGAAGAUUAUGACGGUAUCUAACGAAUAAGCACCGGCUAACUCCGUGCCAGCAGCCGCGGUAAUACGGAGGGUGCAAGCGUUACUCGGAAUCACUGGGCGUAAAGAGCGCGUAUGCGGG
rnacentral:rRNA from 1 species